UACGUAGGGAGCAAGCGUUGUCCGGAAUCAUUUGGCGUAAAGCGCGCGUAGGCGGCCCUGUAAGUCCGUUGUGAAAGUCAAAGGCUCAACCUUUGAAAGCCGAUGGAUACUGCAGGGCUAGAGUCCGGAAGAGGCGAGUGGAAUUCCUGGUGUAGCGGUGGAACGCGCAGAUAUCAGGAGGAACACCAAUAGCGAAGGCAGCUCGCUGGGACGGUACUGACGCUAAGGCGCGAAAGCGUGGGGAGCGAACAGG
rnacentral:rRNA from 1 species